rnacentral:rRNA from 1 species
GACAGAGGGGGCAAGCGUUGUCCGGAAUUACUGGGCGUAAAGCGCACGCAGGCGGCCCGGCGCGUGGGGUGUGACAGCGCACCGCUCAACGGUGCGAGGCCAUCUCAUACGGCCGAGCUCGAGCCAUGCAGAGGCCAGCGGAAUUGCCGGUGUAGUGGUGAAAUGCGUAGAGAUCGGCAGGAACGCCAAUGGGGAAACCAGCUGGCUGGGCAUGAGCUGACGCUCAGGUGCGAUAGCGUGGGGAG